rnacentral:rRNA from 1 species
CCCUUAGAUGUUCUGGGCCGCACGCGCGCUACAAUGAUGAAUUCAACGAGUUUAUAACCUUGGUUGAAAAGCCUGGGUAAUCUUUUGAACUUUCGUCGUGAUGGGGCUAGACCCUUGCAAUUAUUCGUCUUCAACGAGGAAUUCCUAGUAAACGCAAGUCAUCAGCUUGCAUUGAUUACGUCCCUGCCCUUUGUACACACCGCCCGUCGCACCUACCGAUUGAAUGGUCCGGUGAAGGCUCCGGAGGCGUCUUUCUCAAUGUUUAUUCGGCGAGAUUGGUGCCAAAGUUGAAUGAACCUUACCAUUUAGAGGAAGGUGAAGUCGUAACA